GAGGGUAUAGCUCAUGGUAGAGUGUGUGCCUAGCACGCACAGGGUCCUGGGUUCAAUCCCCAGUACUGCCU
rnacentral:tRNA from 1 species